UGUCGAUGAAGAGCGCAGCAAACUGUGUGAAUUAAUGUGAACUGCAACCGCCAUGAACAUCGACAACUUGAUUGCACAUUGCGGCCAUGGGUUAGCCUGUGGCCACGCCUGUCCGAGAGUC
rnacentral:rRNA from 1 species